rnacentral:rRNA from 1 species
UACGUAGGGUGCGAGCGUUAAUCGGAAUUAUUGGGCGUAAAGAGCUUGUAGGCGGUCUGUCGCGUCUGCUGUGAAAAUCCGGGGCUCAACCCCGGACUUGCAGUGGGUACGGGCAGACUAGAGUGUGGUAGGGGAGACUGGAAUUCCUGGUGUAGCGGUGAAAUGCGCAGAUAUCAGGAGGAACACCGAUGGCGAAGGCAGGUCUCUGGGCCACUACUGACGCUGAGAAGCGAAAGCAUGGGGAGCGAACAGG